rnacentral:rRNA from 1 species
GAUCGAACGCUGGCGGCAUGGCUAAAACAUGCAAGUCGGACGCGAACGUUCCUUCGGGAAACAAGUAGAGUGGCGAACGGGCGAGGAAUACAUGGGAAACGUACCCCAGGCACAGGGAUAGCUGUGGGAAACCGCAGGUAAUACCUGAUGAGACCACAGUGUCAUAAGGCACAGCGGUCAAAGGGUGGGGACCUUCGGGCCUAUCGGCCUGGGAGCGGCCCAUGUCCUAUCAGCUUGUUGGUGAGGUAACGGCUCACCAAGGCGACGACGGGUACCGGGACUGAGAGGUUGACCCGGCGCAUUGGGACUGAGACACUGCCCAGACUCCUACGGGAGGCUGCAGUAACGAAUAUUGGGCUAAUGUGCGAAAGCAUGACCCAGCAAUGCCGCGUGUGGGAAGAAGCCCUUCGGGGUGUAAACCACUGUCAGGGGUUAGCAAGCAAUCCGGUCGAAUAGGCCGGUGCGUUGAGCAGCCCCAGAGGAAGCCACGGCUAACUUCGUGCCAGCAGCCGCGGUAAGACGAAGGUGGCAAGCGUUGUUCGGAAUCACUGGGCUUAAAGGGCACGCAGGCGGCUGAUCAAGUGUCUUGUGAAAUCCCUCGACUCAACCGAGGAAUUGCAGGGCAAACUGGUCGGCUUGAGGCAGGUAGGGGCAAGUGGAACUCUUGGUGGAGCGGUGGAAUGCGUAGAUCUCAAGAGGAACGCCAGUGGCGAAAGCGACUUGCUAGGCCUGUCCUGACGCUGAGGUGCGAAAGCCAGGGGAGCGAACGGGAUUAGAUACCCCGGUAGUCCUGGCCCUUAACGAUGUCCACUAGGUCGGAGGUUCUCUGACGGAGUUCCGGCCGAAACGAAAGCGUUAAGUGGACCGUCUGGGGAGUACGGUCGCAAGGCUAAAAUUCAAAGGACUUGACGGGGGCUCACACAAGCCGUGGGAGCCUGUUGCCUUAAUUCGAAUGCACGCGAAGAACCUUAUCUUGGCCUUGAAUGUUCGGAUGCCUUCUGGAACCGGGUCGGGUGGCCUUCGGGGUGACCGGUCACCGGUGCUGCUUGCUGUCGUCAGCUCGUGUCGUGAGAUGUUGGUUUAAGUCCCGUAACGAGCGAAACCCUUGUCGCUUAGUUGCCAGCGCGUAAUGCCGGGGACUCUAGCGAGACUGCCGGUGUUAAACCGGGAGGAAGGUGGGGAUGACGUCAAGUCCUCA